ensembl:lncRNA
CUUCAUGUGCAUUGGAUCCAGGGUUGGGAAGUAGGGGUGCAGUAACGCCCCCUGCCUCAGCUCCUCCACAAUGAAAAUAUUGAGUAAAAUAUCAGGGGUUGUCUGAUCAUAUAACCUAAUAAAUACACAUUUGUCAAAAGAAAUGUGAGUGUAUUUUUUGCUUGACCUUGUUUCUGUCAGAUAUUCACAUAGCGUACCAUUAGUCAGUGGGAUGUGCGAGCGCCGUCAAUUACUCACUUUUGGCCUCGGUUGUAAGUUUUACACCCAAGCGUUCCGAAAUGAACGUCAUGUGUAAAGGACAUCUCACACCCGUGUCCGGCGUCACCCUGUUACACCAGUGAUGGACCUGGGAUAUUUCUCAGUGUGACCAGGCCAUAAUAAUGAAUUGGACAAAACAGAAUUGGAGAAAAACAGUCAAUCAGUUAGAAGAUGGAGUCCUGCCAUAGGUAUUUUUGUCCUGUAAAAUGUAUUAGUCUUCGUCUGGUAUGUUCAGACAAAGGUGGACCUUAAUUUGUGAGGUAAAAUGUAUGAUGGGAAAUAGACUGUAUUUUAAUGAGAAUUUCCCUGCUACAUUAGUUGAAUUAUUUUUAUGUGGACCAGCCUUUUUGCUUAGUCUUUCAGAUCUAACGGCCAGAGGAUCAUACAGGCAGUGGCGAAACGUGACUAUUGGAGCCCUCAGUAGCAGAAACAGAUCUGACGUCAUACAUACAGAUAGAGAAUUCAGAUGCCUGUGUAUACAGAGCAUGACUUGAGACCUUUAUUUUGCAGACCUAUAUAGGAGGAGUAAUUACUUGACUCAAACGGACAUAAGCGACGCACUGGCUGUGGCUCACAGAAGCAGCAAACAUAAACAGUUGCAAAUAUCGAUAGCAGGAGCCACGUUAGAAGUAAAUAAGUUUGUGUCGUUUCAAAGAAACAUUUGCCAAAACAGUCACUCAAAUAGAGGAAGAAUAAAUCCAACCACACCACUACUCACGUUGUUUUAAGACCACGGACAGUUUAUGCUGUCAUAGAGAAAAAUGUUGCGCUGUAUUCGAGGUCCAGCAUGCAAAAAAGCACCACAAGAAAUGUAAUGUACCCAGUAGUUCCUAUUGCAACAUCCUCACCAGUGAUCUAAACUUGGAAUAAUAUUUUACACAUUCUAUUCAAAAUGAUAUGAACGAGACAGCAAAAAAGCAAGCUGUAGAUGAAAACAAAACGUUCACUCACCAUUACGAUUAUCAUUUUAAAACAAGGUCCAUUUUCCUGUCCUUCAUGAAAUGGAUAAUGUCAGGUUCAUGUAGCAGGUCUUUAGAUUCUAAAUCCGAAAUAACUUCUUUUUUGAUUGAGUUCAAAGCCACAGCUGACAGCCGGGCCAUCGCCAUCCUUAUGUGCACUCAUGCUUGAACCUAGCAAAACUUGCCAGCUAGCGUUAGAAAACAAGAUAAGGCUCGCUAUUGGCUCUGAAUUAGUGAUGUGUACUUAGGCCCUCUAGAGGGCCUUGAGGUAUCAUAGGGGGCCUUGAGGUAUCCACCAAUUGCCAGACAAUUUGCGAUAGGUUGAUUCUACUGUCAAUCCAAAAUUCUGCUCUAAUUGCAGUCAAUGUCAAUGACAUUGGCUGGUGCCUUCUAUUCAAAGCAAGUUAUAAUAUAUAAAAUUAUAUACAGAUUUGUAUCUAUCCUUAGGUCCCAGCUCUCUUCAGGUCAUUGACCAGGUCCUACCGUGUAGUUCUGGGCUGAUCCCUCACCUUCCUCAUGAUCAUUGAUGCCCCGCAAGGUGAGAUCUUGCAUGGUGCCCCAGACCGAGGGAGAUCGACCGUCAUCUUGAACUUCUUCCAUUUUCUAAUAAUUGCGCCAACGUUGUUGCCUUCUAACCAAGCUGCUUGCCUAUUGUCCUGUAGCUGUUAUGGAAAUUUUGAACUAAGGUGCAUUUGAGAAAUGUCUGUCUUUCCAUUGGCUGAUAUGUAAAUCUGUACUUUGAUUGUGACACA